rnacentral:rRNA from 1 species
UACAGAGGUCUCAAGCGUUGCUCGGAUUCAUUGGGCGUAAAGGGUGUGUAGGUGGCGCGCUAAGUCGGGUGUGAAAUUUCGGAGCUUAACUCCGAAACUGCAUUCGAUACUGGCGUGCUUGAGGACUGGAGAGGAGACUGGAAUUUACGGUGUAGCAGUGAAAUGCGUAGAUAUCGUAAGGAAGACCAGUGGCGAAGGCGGGUCUCUGGACAGUUCCUGACACUGAGACACGAAGGCCAGGGGAGCAAACGGG